UGGUAGCUAAGUUGGGGCUCCCGACUGGCGGGAGGGGGUGACGUGGGGGCUGGGCUAGGGCCCGGCUCGCCGGACGGGGGCGGAGGCAGUUUUGGCGGGCUCCCGGCGGGGCUUGAGCCAGGCGGGGGCGAGCACCGCGCUGGGUAUUAGGCGGCCUCCUAGCGUCUCUCUUCAGUAGCGCGCUCCUUCCUCGCCCCGCCGCUGCUCCGCCUGAGGGGAGCGGAGCGGAGCUGUGGUGCUAGCAUCUUACCUAGCGCCCCUGGACGGGACACCGAUGGCUUUUAUCUCAAGGAACUGAUUUUGAGGGACGGACACAGUUCACAGUGUGGAGUGGCGUAUCAGAACAAAAGAACACAGAGGUGGCAUGGACACUGGAACACCAGAGCUGCUAGGGAACUCUUGGAAGAGAACAUUCACCACUAGAGGUUUCUCCUCGUAUACAAAGAGAAUGGAUGUGUCUGUUUAUACGAAUCCUCUUUCUUCCCACUUCAUCCCACCACAGAUUUCCACCCUGCAAAUCAGUGUUCAUUAUAUUUUGGCUGCCCUAAGUGAAAUUUCUCAGGCAUAGAAAACUGAUAAAUAAUUCUUUUUUUCAGCUAUGGGCAGAAUAAUCCCAUAUGUGCAAAAUGAUCAUGUUUCUUUCACAGUCCAAGCUGCAAAGUUCAGGUCCCAAUUUUCCCCACCUUUUGGAGUUGUUCAGAUUUGAGCCCAUUUAGAAAGAUAGGCCUAAACCCCAAAAUUCAGCUCCAGAUCUGAAAUCAUCUUAUUCUACGGUAUGGAAUAUAUUGUGUUAAAUUCCCCUCUGGUUUCUUUAAAAAUAAAUCUGGCUUCCUUCCUAUCCUUAUCCUUAAUAGGUACUGCAAAGGUGCUAUUCUCAGCUGCAAAGAGAUGUCACCUUAGCCUCUUUUAGCUUUGCAGUGACAUCUUGUGACCAAUUGACCUGAGAGAAUAGCAGAGCUCUACCCUCCCAUGUGGAGGAGAAUUUCAUGGGGACUGUGUAAACUCUUUUUAUAUAAAAAGAAAAACAGUAAGGCUUUCAUGAAGGUACAAGUUUGAAAGUCUUGCAACUUAAAAUUAAGUCACAAACGGAAUGUUCCAUACAAUGAGAAGGAAGGGAGGAUUGGAAGACCAUUGCAUUAAUUGUUUUCAAUAAGAUAAAGGGAUACUGCCAACUGGAAAUGUAGUCAAUUUUACAAAAAAAUAAAUAAUUUUAAAAUAGCUUCAGGUACUACACCUGUCCUUCAGUCUCCCUGACAAUUUUUGUGGUUUUACAAUUGCAUUUUUUUUAAAACUGUCUUUCCUGUUGCUGUGUUGAAAAACUACACAAACAAAAGGGAAUG